UACUCUUUACUGAAAAUUAGCUCAAAGGCUCUUUUGGAAAUCUCAGUUUCCUUUCUUGUUUAAAUGUGAAAACAUUUACUCUUUGGGAAUACAUAGUCCCGAUAUACUCUUUUGAAGAAAUGCACUUCAAACUUUACUCUUUACUCAACUCAAAACUCAAGUCUUAAAACAAAGUUAAAACAUUUGUAAAAGACUUUUGGAAAACUUUAUGAACUUCUCUUAACUUGACUCUUGACUUCUCUUGACUUGACUCUUAACUUCUCUUGAC
rnacentral:lncRNA from 1 species